rnacentral:rRNA from 1 species
UACGGAGGAGGCAAGCGUUAUCCGGAAUUAUUGGGCGUAAAGCGUCCGUAGGUGGUUGACCAAGUCUGCUGUCAAAGGGUGGGGCUUAGCCUCAUAAAGGCAGUGGAAACUGGUGAGCUAGAGCUCGGUAGGGGUAAGGGGAAUUCCCAGCGUAGCGUUGAAAUGCGUAGAGAUUGGGAAGAACAUCGGUGGCGAAAGCGCCUUGCUGGUCCUGCACUGACACUGAGGGACGAAAGCUAGGGGAGCGAAAGGG